GCACAAGCGGUGGAUGAUGUGGAUUAAUCGAUGCGACGCGAAAACCUUACCCACCUUUGACAUGUACGGAAUCCUUAGAGAUAGAGGAGUGCUCGAAAGAGAGCCGUAACACAGGUGCUGCAUGGCUGUCGUCAGCUCGUGUCGUGAGAUGUUGGGUUAAGUCCCGCAACGAGCGCAACCCUUGUCAUUAGUUGCUACAUUCAGUUGGGCACUCUAAUGAGACUGCCGGUGACAAACCGGAGGAAGGUGGGGAUGACGUCAAGUCCUCAUGGCCCUUAUAGGUGGGGCUACACACGUCAUACAAUGGAUGGUACAAAGGGUCGCCAACCCGCGAGGGGGAGCCAAUCCCAUAAAGCCAUUCGUAGUCCGGAUCGCAGUCUGCAACUCGACUGCGUGAAGUCGGAAUCGCUAGUAAUCGUGGAUCAGAAUGUCACGGUGAAUACGUUCCCGGGUCUU
rnacentral:rRNA from 1 species